ACUCACUGACGUGUUCAAGAAACCAGUUUGAGAUGAUCUGAGCUUUGUGACAUGAUGUGUUAUCCUGCUGGAAACAGCCAUAAGAUGGACAGAUGGAUACACUGUGGUCAUAAAAGCGAUGGUCAGCAAGAACACCCAGAGCCAGCAGGGGACUCAGCAAAGCCUGGCUGGGCUCAGGCUUGAACCUGGGCAUCGAGGAGGCCGGGCCAGAUGGGUCAGCAGAUGGACAAGGAGGCUGAGCCGCCCCUGAUCUGCUCUACAGAAAACUCAGAGUCUGGCCACACCCAGAGAGGAAGAGGGAGGGAGACAGAAAGAGAAACACAAGAAAAGAGACAGAGGGAUGCAAUACAAGAGGUGGACGUGAGAUUCUUGUGUUAUCCUGUCACAGCAGUCUUAUUUACUUUUACCCCCAACAGAGCAGCCAAGAGGAGCAAAGGGGUUUAGAAGCAAUCUACUAAAAACAGGGGAAUUAAUAAACAAGCAUCUGGCCAUGUGGUUUAACCUUAUGUAUAUUAGUAAACUUAUACUUUACCUCCCUUCAUUGAUUAGCUCAAUGAAGGCCAGUCCAGCAUUCUUCUGAAUUGAGUUCUGCCACUCCUGAAAAGAAAAAAUAAAGGUUGUGAUGUAUUACUCACACAAGGACUGCAUUUUGGGGUUGUAAAUGGGGGUGGAUCCUUACAGUCAGUACUGUAAGGAUCUAAUUAGACAUUAGCAUAAAGCUAACAGUGUAUUAAAAAAGCACAUUAUCAGAAAUCUUUGCAAAGCACAUAAAAAGUUAAAAUAAAACGAGUCAAAAUGCAAUUUGUAUCCAAUACGGUCCACUUUCCAUCAUGAAAAUUGCAUAUUUGAAACUGCAAUUCAGAUAAAAUUUCAGAGCUUGUAAUUCAAGUAAGUAAAGAAAGCAUUUAGUUGAUGUAUCCGUUGAGAAAAGAAAAAAGUGAUGGCUAUAAAAAGCUGAAAUUCUGCACCA